GUUGUUGGGUAGGGGAGCGUUCUGUAAGCCUGUGAAGGUGGCCUGUGAGGGUUGCUGGAGGUAUCAGAAGUGCGAAUGCUGACAUAAGUAACGAUAAAGCGGGUGAAAAGCCCGCUCGCCGGAAGACCAAGGGUUCCUGUCCAACGUUAAUCGGGGCAGGGUGAGUCGACCCCUAAGGCGAGGCCGAAAGGCGUAGUCGAUGGGAAACGGGUUAAUAUUCCCGUACUUGGUGUUACUGCGAAGGGGGGACGGAGAAGGCUAUGUUGGCCGGGCGACGGUUGUCCCGGUUUAAGCGUGUAGGUGUGUGUUCCAGGUAAAUCCGGUUCACUUUAACACUGAGGCGUGACGACGAGGCACUACGGUGCUGAAGCAACAAAUGCCCUGCUUCCAGGAAAAGCCUCUAAGCAUCAGGUAACAUCAAAUCGUACCCCAAACCGACACAGGUGGUCAGGUAGAGAAUACCAAGGCGCUUGAGAGAACUCGGGUGAAGGAACUAGGCAAAAUGGUGCCGUAACUUCGGGAGAAGGCACGCUGACAUGUAGGUGAAGUGAUUUACUCAUGGAGCUGAAGUCAGUCGAAGAUACCAGCUGGCUGCAACUGUUUAUUAAAAACACAGCACUGUGCAAACACGAAAGUGGACGUAUACGGUGUGACGCCUGCCCGGUGCCGGAAGGUUAAUUGAUGGGGUCAGCGCAAGCGAAGCUCCUGAUCGAAGCCCCGGUAAACGGCGGCCGUAACUAUAACGGUCCUAAGGUAGCGAAAUUCCUUGUCGGGUAAGUUCCGACCUGCACGAAUGGCGUAAUGAUGGCCAGGCUGUCUCCACCCGAGACUCAGUGAAAUUGAACUCGCUGUGAAGAUGCAGUGUACCCGCGGCAAGACGGAAAGACCCCGUGAACCUUUACUAUAGCUUGACACUGAACAUUGAGCCUUGAUGUGUAGGAUAGGUGGGAGGCUUUGAAGUGUGGACGCCAGUCUGCAUGGAGCCGACCUUGAAAUACCACCCUUUAAUGUUUGAUGUUCUAACGUGGACCCGUUAUCCGGGUUGCGGACAGUGUCUGGUGGGUAGUUUGACUGGGGCGGUCUCCUCCUAAAGAGUAACGGAGGAGCACGAAGGUUGGCUAAUCCUGGUCGGACAUCAGGAGGUUAGUGCAAUGGCAUAAGCCAGCUUGACUGCGAGCGUGACGGCGCGAGCAGGUGCGAAAGCAGGUCAUAGUGAUCCGGUGGUUCUGAAUGGAAGGGCCAUCGCUCAACGGAUAAAAGGUACUCCGGGGAUAACAGGCUGAUACCGCCCAAGAGUUCAUAUCGACGGCGGUGUUUGGCACCUCGAUGUCGGCUCAUCACAUCCUGGGGCUGAAGUAGGUCCCAAGGGUAUGGCUGUUCGCCAUUUAAAGUGGUACGCGAGCUGGGUUUAGAACGUCGUGAGACAGUUCGGUCCCUAUCUGCCGUGGGCGCUGGAGAACUGAGGGGGGCUGCUCCUAGUACGAGAGGACCGGAGUGGACGCAUCACUGGUGUUCGGGUUGUCAUGCCAAUGGCACUGCCCGGUAGCUAAAUGCGGAAGAGAUAAGUGCUGAAAGCAUCUAAGCACGAAACUUGCCCCGAGAUGAGUUCUCCCUGAGACUUAGAGUCUCCUGAAGGAACGUUGAAGACGACGACGUUGAUAGGCCGGGUGUGUAAGCGCAGCGAUGCGUUGAGCUAACCGGUACUAAUGAACCGUGAGGCUUAACCUUACAACGCCGAAG
rnacentral:rRNA from 1 species